rnacentral:misc_RNA from 1 species
GAUGAAGAACGUAGCGAAAUGCGAUAAGUAGUGUGAAUUGCAGAAUUCAGUGAAUCAUCGAAUCUUUUAACGCACAUUGCGCCCCUUGGUAUUCCAUGGGGCAUGCCUGUUCGAGCGUCAUUUGUACCUUCAAGCUUUGCUUGGUGUUGGGUGUUUGUCCAUUCUCUUGCAGAGGGACUCGCCUUAAAGUAAUUGGCAGCCAGUGUUUUGGUUUUGAAGCGCAGCACAAGUCGCGAUUCAAAGCUAUACGCCCGCUUCCACAAGCCUUUUUCACUUUUGACCUCGGAUCAGGUAGGGAUACCCGCUGAACUUAAGCAUAUCAAUAAGCGGAGGA